rnacentral:rRNA from 1 species
AGUGAACGCUGGCGGUAGGCCUAACACAUGCAAGUCGAACGGCAGCACAGUAAGAGCUUGCUCUUACGGGUGGCGAGUGGCGGACGGGUGAGGAAUACAUCGGAAUCUACUUUUUCGUGGGGGAUAACGUAGGGAAACUUACGCUAAUACCGCAUACGACCUACGGGUGAAAGCAGGGGAUCUUCGGACCUUGCGCGAUUGAAUGAGCCGAUGUCGGAUUAGCUAGUUGGCGGGGUAAAGGCCCACCAAGGCGACGAUCCGUAGCUGGUCUGAGAGGAUGAUCAGCGACACUGGAACUGAGACACGGUCCAGACUCCUACGGGAGGCAGCAGUGGGGAAUAUUGGACAAUGGGCGCAAGCCUGAUCCAGCCAUACCGCGUGGGUGAAGAAGGCCUUCGGGUUGUAAAGCCCUUUUGUUGGGAAAGAAAAGCAGCAGGCUAAUACCACGCUGUUCUGACGGUACCCAAAGAAUAAGCACCGGCUAACUUCGUG